GUUUGAACAUUUAUUCGCCUCCUGAGCUUGUACAACAGUCGUGGGAGUUGCUGCAGAAGCAAGCGAAAAGCCAGAUGAGCGCUUCUAAACUUAGAGAGAGGAGGGCAGCCACUGAGGAUUCUUGAGGAGAGAGAGACCAUAGAAUGAAUGAAAGAGUUGGAAAGACUUUAAAGCUCUGGGAGGCUGAAUCCUUUAUUUCGCUGGAAGAAAAACUGAAUGCCAAGAGGGCCUCACUUUCCCCAAAGCUAUACAGCCAUCAGGGGCAAUGCUGGGAUUCCCCCAUGGAUCUCUUGACUCCUAAUACAGUGCUCUUUCUGAUAUGCCAUCUGGCUCCAUAAUGAACAUUGUGUUCCAGGAAAAUCAGUCUGCGCUGAACAGGAUGGAAUUGGGGCAGGACGUCCAGUGAGGAGGACAUUGAGGCAGUAGAGCAGUUGAUUGCCGAAUGACCACCUACCCUGACUUAAAAGAUCAACCUCAGGGAGGAUUGGAGCUUUCUAGAGUCUCUUGGGACAGCAGAAGCACAGGCCGGGUUGGACUGAAUCUUUAAGUGGACAUGAGGGACAAAGUACCUCCUGUUGGUAAACAUCUCACCACCAACCCACUGUGGUGGCUAAAAUCCCACCUUUAGUCCCAGCAACAUAUGAGCAUGUCACCAGGAGGUCUUCACAGGCCUGUCUGCCACCUGAGUGUAGACAUCUUUUGGCCCUGGAGCCCAGAGAGGCUGAAUGUGGAGAGGGUGGAGAGAGGUCUGUAGUCCUCAGAGAAGACUUGCAGCUUUUUCAGAGCCACCAACCCAUAAAAAAAAAAAUCCCCAAACAGAAAAAUCCUAACUGUGGUGACCAGGUACCUCCUGAGACAUGAAGCCUCCACUUACCUGGACCCUGGAGGCCUCUCCGGGCACAGCUGCCAAUGUUGAUCUUAGAUAAGACCACCAGCAAGUAAACAUCCAC
ensembl:lncRNA GHRLOS ghrelin opposite strand/antisense RNA